GCAAUGCAAGCCAAUCUACCGAAAUAGUUUAAAUUGGUCUUCAAGUGGAUAAUACAUGGAAUGAUAGACCUGGCAUAACAAUUUCACCGAUCGCAGUCUAGAAGUGAUGGCUAUUCUGAAGGUGUUAUGUGCAUACUUGUGAGAUUCUCGAAGUGAGCCGGAGUCGAGCUCAUGACCUACCCGGGUUAAUAGAGGAUAACCCUUGAUUGACCUGAUUGUAGAAGUUUUGAUCUGAUUAUGAAAAGUGUGAAUAUCUGUCUGAACAUGAAUACGGGGGAAGUAUUUUUAUAUAUGCGGUGUCAAUUUGAUUUC